rnacentral:piRNA from 1 species
UUACUCUUGAGGGGGCCGUGAUUGGAGGGU